GUGUCAGCAGCCGCGGUAACACGGGGGGAGCAAGCGUUGUUCGGAAUCACUGGGCGUAAAGGGCGUGUAGGCGGUCAAGUAAGUGGAAUGUGAAAGCCCCCGGCUUACCCGGGGAUCUGCAUCCCAAACUGCUUGGCUUGAGUACGGGAGAGGAUAGGGGAAUUCCUGGUGUAGCGGUGAAAUGCGUAGAUAUCAGGAGGAACACCGGUGGCGAAGGCGCCUAUCUGGCCCGAUACUGACGCUGAGGCGCGAAAGCUAGGGGAGCAAACGGGAUUAGAUACCCCGGUAGUCC
rnacentral:rRNA from 1 species